CCGAGCGGCUGGAUCUGCCGGUGAGGAGGCCGGGGUCACCGUAUCCGGUGGUCCCGGCCUCCUCGUUGGUGGAUGCAGCGACGGGA
rnacentral:pre_miRNA from 1 species